GAAAUGAUCCAAUUCUUCACAAUUGCUCUCAGGCAGAAGCUUUGCGCAAUUCACUCUCACCAUGGGCAAAAUGGCACCUGUCACCAAAGGUACAGGAUCCCUUUGUGAAGUUGUCACACAGCUUAGUCUUGAAAUUACUACCUGGUCCGCCAGGUGCCACAACAGGUGCAGGUUUAGCUUGGAAGGGUGUCGCAGCACUUAUGUUCAGAAUCAGUUCUUUAACCAUGGCACUAGCAUGUUUUAUCUGGUCGAAGGUACCCUCCAGCUCAAUGUUCUUCUGAGUGGCAUCUGAUUCAUUAUCUUUAAUAUAAAGCUUGGCUCCAGUAAUACGGUGAAUCUGCUUUGUGUUCACCCCACCCUUGCCAAUAAUGGCACCUGCAAGAGAUCCAUCAAUGCUGAUCUUUGCGGUGGCAGAGGCUCCAAAACUUGCAGCAGCAGGCGGAGGUGGCUCAAGGCGACCUGCUAAUCUCCCCCCAGCUAAGAAACCCACAGGAGCAGGCGGAGGUGGCUCAAGG
rnacentral:misc_RNA from 1 species